ACCUGGGCAGGACCAGCAGCUUCCAUAGCACGCUCCUAAAUUCUUUUUACCACAGAAUGAACUCAUGACUAAUUGUAGACAACUAAAGUUGGAUGAGACAAAUCACAAACAUGCUUACUGUUUCCCCAAGCAGAACACACUAGCAAGAUUGAACACCUAUUUUACAAAACAUGAGAUGUAGUCAAGAAAAUGCUUGUGGGAUCCAAAAGAAAAAAGUUUCAGCCCCCAGGAGAAACAGAGAUGGUUAGCAGCAAUAAUGCUGCAUUGGACAAUGUGAAGUCAUCUCUCAAAAUAAUAUGAUGUGACAGGCAAAGUGUAUUCCGGCUUGAUUUGCACUGGGGACUAGUAUAGAAUAUUUCACUGCAGUGCAGCCAUUCCCAAAUUGAUCUACUUGUAAAUUCCAGAAAUUGGGGGGUGGGAGGAACCACGACACAAAGCCUCUGUUUUCUGAAAGCCUUGGUUCCUGCUGCUUAAUGAAUAGAGUACUGUAAUACAGAAUUGAAAUUAAACAUGUACUGGGAAG